rnacentral:rRNA from 2 species
UGGAUCCAGACUUUGAUUCUGGCUCAGGAUGAACGCUAGCUACAGGCUUAACACAUGCAAGUCGAGGGGAAACGAUAGAGUAAGCUUGCUUUUUCUAGGCGUCGACCGGCGCACGGGUGAGUAACGCGUAUCCAACCUGCCCAUCACUUGGGGAUAACCUUGCGAAAGUAAGACUAAUACCCAAUGAUAUCUCUAGAAGACAUCUGAAGGAGAUUAAAGAUUUAUCGGUGAUGGAUGGGGAUGCGUCUGAUUAGCUUGUUGGCGGGGUAACGGCCCACCAAGGCGACGAUCAGUAGGGGUUCUGAGAGGAAGGUCCCCCACAUUGGAACUGAGACACGGUCCAAACUCCUACGGGAGGCAGCAGUGAGGAAUAUUGGUCAAUGGACGAGAGUCUGAACCAGCCAAGUAGCGUGCAGGAUGACGGCCCUAUGGGUUGUAAACUGCUUUUAUAAGGGAAUAAAGUGAGUCUCGUGAGACUUUUUGCAUGUACCUUAUGAAUAAGGACCGGCUAAUUCCGUGCCAGCAGCCGCGGUAAUACGGAAGGUCCGGGCGUUAUCCGGAUUUAUUGGGUUUAAAGGGAGCGUAGGCCGGAGAUUAAGCGUGUUGUGAAAUGUAGACGCUCAACGUCUGCACUGCAGCGCGAACUGGUUUCCUUGAGUACGCACAAAGUGGGCGGGAUUCGUGGUGUAGCGGUGAAAUGCUUAGAUAUCACGAAGAACUCCGAUUGCGAAGGCAGCUCACUGGAGCGCAACUGACGCUGAAGCUCGAAAGUGCGGGUAUCGAACAGGAUUAGAUACCCUGGUAGUCCGCACGGUAAACGAUGGAUGCCCGCUGUUGGUCUGAAUAGGUCAGCGGCCAAGCGAAAGCAUUAAGCAUCCCACCUGGGGAGUACGCCGGCAACGGUGCAACUCAAAUGAAUUGACGGA